CUUGGAUUCAAGGAGGAUUCAGAACUGCAGGCUCUCCGACUUGGCAUGAAUGAGAAUUGAAGUUCCUGCCUUGUCCCCUGAGAGAACCCAGGCCAGCAACAGCCCUGAUCUCAAAAGCCUCACACAGUGGGAUUACAAGGUCGAGGGAGCUACAGAGACCCUAGGCUGGCCUUCAGUAUUACAAGCUGCUACCCAUGAGUAAAAGUACAUUUCCCAAGAUCAUUAGACUAAAGUAUAAGGUGUGGCGUGAGCACACUGAGUAUGGACCCCACAGCUAGAUGGGCAUUCCACACCUGUUCUCACCUGUUCUUGCCUACGCUGGAGAAGCUGUUGCAUCUAAAUGUGUAAAGACCAGACGUGUUUCCUUCUGGCCCAAGAGACAGUGGGCAUCUUACUGUGACCCUUUGACUCAUUCAGACUAUGGGUAGAGAUGGAGACUCGGAGUCACAUGUUCAGGGUCCCAGCCCUGCUUCUUGCCCCAGCUGUCUCUUGAUGGGUCUCUCCUAGGAGGUUACCUAACUGUACUCUAAUGCCCUUUCUAAUUCUGAGGGCUCCCAGAAUUCACUGAGUGGUAGCUAUGAGUUGAAGGAGUCUUGAGGAAGAUAACAGGAGAGGAAAUAUUCUCAAGAAUCUAUGCAGUUUGGAGGCAGGUGGAUCUCUGUGUUCGAGGCCAGCCUAGUCUAAAAAGUGAGUUCUGGGACAGCCAGAG